GACGAACGCUGGCGGCGUGCCUAAUACAUGCAAGUAGAACGCUGAAGGCGGAGCUUGCUCUUCUGGGUGAGUUGCGAACGGGUGAGUAACGCGUAGGUAACCUGCCUGGUAGCGGGGGGUAUGCUAUGGAAACGUAAGCUAAUACCGCAUAACAGUAGAUGUUGCAUGAUAUUUGCGCAAAAGGUGCACUUGCUUCACUACCAGAAGGCCAUGCGUUGUAUGAGCUAGGGGUUGGGGUAACGGCUAACCAAGCCGACGAUGCAUAGCAGACCAGAGAGGGGGAUCGGCCUCGCUGGGACUGGGGCACGGCCCAGAACCCUGCGAGUGGCAGCAGUAGGGGAUUCUCGGGGAUGGACGGAAGGGUGACUAAGCGACGCCGCGUGAGUGAAUAAGGUUGUCGGAUCGUAUAGCUCAGUUAUGAGUUAGGAUCGUAUAUGAGUGUGGAACGUGAAGACUGUGACGGUAUCGGACGAGAAAGGGACGGCUAACUACGUG
rnacentral:rRNA from 1 species